rnacentral:rRNA from 1 species
AGGACUAACGCUGGCGGCGUGCCUAACACAUGCAAGUCGAACGAGGUAGCAAUACCUAGUGGCAGACGGGUGAGUAACACGUAGUCAACCUUCCCGAUAGUGGGGGAUAACUAGCCGAAAGGUUAGCUAAUACCGCAUACGAUCUUCGAGUGGCAUCAUUUGAAGAUGAAAGGAGCAAUCCGCUUUCGGACGGGACUGCGUCCCAUUAGCUAGAUGGUGGGGUAAUGGCCUACCAUGGCAACGAUGGGUAGCUGGUUUGAGAGAGCGACCAGCCACACUGGGACUGAGAAACGGCCCAGACUCCUACGGGAGGCAGCAGUGAGGAAUUUUCCGCAAUGGGCGAAAGCCUGACGGAGCGACGCCGCGUGUGGGAAGAAGGCCUUCGGUCGUAACCACUGUCGAAGGGAAAUACUGAUGGUACCCUUGGAGGAAGCCCGGCUAACUACGCGCCAGCAGCCGC